rnacentral:rRNA from 1 species
CCUACGGGCGGCAGCAGUAGGGAAUAUUGCUCAAUGGGGGAAACCCUGAAGCAGCAACGUCGCGUGGAGGAUGAAGGUCUUCGGAUUGUUAACUCCUUUUGUUAGAGAAGAUAAUGACGGUAUCUAACGAAUAAGCACCGGCUAACUUCGGGCCAGCAGCCGGGGUUAUACGGCGGGUGCCACCGUUACUCGGAAUCACUGGGCGUAAAGAGCGCGUAGGCGGGAUAGCAAGUCAGAUGUGAAAUCCUAUGGCUUAACCAUAGAACUGCAUUUGAAACUGUUAUUCUAGAGUAUGGGAGAGGUAGGUGGAAUUCUUGGUGUAGGGGUAAAAUGCGUAGAGAUCAAGAAGAAUACUCAUUGCGAAGGCGACCUGCUAGAACAUAACUGACGCUGAUGCGCGAAAGCGUGGGGAGCGAACAGGAUUAGAUACCCUAGUAGUC